rnacentral:lncRNA from 1 species
UAGACACUCGCACACUCGAUCCACUCCCAGGCCAGCAAUUUUCCUAAACAGCGUGGCUCCUCUGCACCUAUUUAAAGGCCAUUCAGUGGCCGAAUUAUAAUCUCUUCCAUUCGGCAAUUCCGCAAGCUCCACCGCCUUCGGGUUCUUUUUCUUUUCUUUUUCUUUUUUAUUUUAUUUUUCUGUUUUUAAUUCAGUAAAUAAGUGGCUGAUUUUCCAUCUACUUGAAUAUUGGUUGAAACUUUAGUUAUUUAAUGGGUUGUGAGACUUGAUCAAAUAUUAUUUAAUUUUGGAAAUUCAAUAUUCAUAUAAUUUUAUAUUUAAUUUUCAUAUUAUUUUGUUAUUGAAAUCUACGUUGAUUUUUUAUUGCAAAAUAAUUAUUUGUUAGUUUGAAUAAUUUAAGUCCGUAAUUGCUUGGGUUAUUCUUACAUGAGAACACUUGGGACAAAACCCAAGAAAAUUGCAUGAUCUAGCGUUAUCUCCAUACGUUUGGGUAGCUAGGAUUGGAUCUCUCUAUUUCUUAAUGCAAUUGACAAUUGUUUUGAUGCCUAAGGCCCAAGGACGUUCCUUGGCAAUUUGUUGAUUAGUAAUUAAUUAGAGGACGUUCCCUAAUUGGUUUAAUCAUAAGGAGAGAUAAUGGUGGUGAGAAGCGUCUUCCAUCUCCAUAAACUAAUCUAUUGAAUUAACCCAAAAGAACAAAGUGUCUGUGAUCGAUUCCAAUGACUAAAGUGGAUCCAAUACUUCAACUAGAGUUUUCUUAUUAUUUAUUUCUCUUUUAUUUUAUCAUUCGUUUAUUUUAAUUGCUUUUAGUAGUUUAUUAAUUAAAUCAAUCUCAAACCCCCCCAUUUUAUUUUAAUUGCAAUUUAUUUUUAUCUC